rnacentral:rRNA from 1 species
GACGAACGCUGGCGGCGUGCCUAACACAUGCAAGUCGAACGGGGUGUUCCUUCGGGGACACUUAGUGGCGAACGGGUGAGUAACGCGUAUCCAACCUUCCCCCUACCCGGGUAUAGCCCGCCGAAAGGCGGAUUAAUCCCCGAUACGUCCCCUGACGGCAUCAGACGGGGACGAAAGGUAUUCCGGUAAGGGAUGGGGAUGCGUCCGAUUAGCUUGUUGGCGGGGUAACGGCCCACCAAGGCUACGAUCGGUAGGGGUUCUGAGAGGUUGACCGGCCACAUUGGGACUGAGACACGGCCCAGACUCCUACGGGAGGCAGCAGUGGGGAAUAUUGGGCAAUGGGCGCAAGCCUGACCCAGCAACGCCGCGUGAAGGAAGAAGGCUUUCGGGUUGUAAACUUCUUUUAUAAGGGACGAAACAAAUGACGGUACCUUAUGAAUAAGCCACGGCUAACUACGUG